UGACCCCACGGCGCCCACCGGCCUCGUGGCAUCCCAGGCCUGGCCGCCAUACGCCCGCCCACCGACCGCUCCAACCCACCCCAGCCUCACAACCUCUUAGGGCGUUCCAACGCGGCGCCCCCUA
ensembl:misc_RNA